rnacentral:lncRNA from 1 species
UCCAAUGGAGGUCUAUUGCUCAGAUGGGGAUCAUUUGGCUCACGAGAACUGGCCCGAUUCAAUGAGAUACUAAAGAAGCCUGUCAGAUUGAAGCCUGGUUGGCCCGAUAGCGAAGAGAUGGCAACUUAGGCUAAUAUGGUAACUAAUCUUAGAAGAUAUGAUAUUAUAAUCUUAGAGAUCUUAGAUAUGAUAUGGAAUCUUAUAAGAUAUUAUUUUAUAAGAUUACAUAUCUUAUCUAAGAUAUGGAAUCUUAGAAGAUAUGAUAUUAUAUUCUUAGAGAUUUGAUGGUAGGUAAACUUUAAUCUCGUCCGUCGAUGUAAUUGUAUCUUGACCGUCGGUUUUGGGGGAGCUCAAGUAUAAAUAGAGAGCCUCCCCCUCAUUUGUACUCACUCCAUUCAUUGUUUCAUUAUUCUUUGUGAAUAAGAGAAUAGAGAGCAUUUACUCAAACACUUUGUGUGCGUCCCUUUCUUUUGUUCUUUCUAAGCUUCUUUUGGCAUAAGUUUGCUUCCGCUGUACGAGUUGGUGCCUUGGAGGAGUUUUUAAGGAAUCCUCAUUCGAGCAAAGGCUGACUUGGGCGAGUUUGGACGAGCGAAUCGCCUAAGGCUGCACGGAUCCCGAGACGAAAGGUCUAGCCCCGUGACAAGUGGUAUCAGAGCUAGAGUUCGAACCAAGAAGUAUCCGAGCUGUUGGUUCGAAGGCACCGUUGGGAUGUCAAGAGAAGAGUCUGAACAAAGGUGGGCGAGGAAGUCUUUGAGGGAGAUGUUUUCGGCUGUUGAGGAACGCGUGGGGAAACUUGAAGAGUCCAUGGAGGACGUCAAAGAGUCGAGCAAUGCGCUUGGGGAAAGCAUUGAUGACUUGAGGGAGCAGUCAAGGGACUUUGUUACCGAGUGUCUCACUUUCCACAGGGAUAGUGUGCAAGAGUUGCUAGAUUCCCAAAGGAAGAAGCUGACGGAGAGGAACAAUGCUCUCGAAGCCAUGAUGAUGGCUUUAAAGGAGGAAACAAUAGCCACGACGAGGGCUUUGAGCACAAGGAUAGAGGAGCUCGAGGGAGAGUUAGCCUUGUGUCAAGCAGCCGUGGGGAAAGGAGUGUCAAGUGCAGCACUCAAUAACGAGGAUGUCCCGAAACCGAGAGAGUUCGCUGGGAUAAGGUCUGCAUGCGAUGUGGACAAUUUCUUGUGGAGGAUGGAACACUACUUCCGUGCCAAAGGAAUCGUGGAUGAUGCGGUUAAAGUAAAUACUGCUUCAAUGUUUCUUACUAACAUUGCGCUUUUAUGGUGGCGACGUAGGACCACAGAUAAAAGGCAAGGUGAGAUUGGGACGUGGCAGGAGUUCCAAUGCGAAUUGAAGGGACAGUUUUACCCAGAGUUUGCCGAGGAAGAAGCUCGGGCAAAGUUGCACGGAAUAACGCAACGGGGCACAGUGGGGGAGUAUGUUCGUGAGUUCAAGGAACUCAUGCUCCAAGUUGCAAAUGUGACCGAUGAAGAAGCAUUGCUUGCUUUUCAAAAGGGAUUGAAGCCGUGGGUCAGACAGGAGGUGGAACAAAGAGGUGUCCAAAACUUGUCGGAAGCCAUGACGGUAGUUGAAUCUAUAGUGAAGCUUGGUCAAGGGAACGACAAGCUUGGGUCUUCCAAGUCCGAUGGAAGGGGCGUAUGUGAAAUGAAUCACAAGGAAGAUAGUGUGGAUGGCAAUGGCAACGGCGACAAUGGUGGUAAUGGGAAACCACGAGUUGCGAAGAAGAAACCCAAGAGGAAAAGAGACAAGCUGAAAUGCUUUCUGUGCGACGGUCCACAUAUGUUGAAGAAAUUUCCAAGGAAAUCCGCGCUUAAGAAGAAGCCAGUAGAGUACUUCUUGUGUCAGGGUCCGCAUAGGUUGCGGAAGUGUCCGAAGAAGUCUAUCAUCGAGGGGAACGAUAGAGCGACAAGGAGCCCAAGAAGCUUGGUUCAAGCAAGGGAAAAGCCGAAGCCAAGAGGGCAAAGAGGAGCAAAAAGAAGCAAGUAAAGUGCUUCUUAUGCCGUGGUCCGCAUGAGUUGCGGAACUGUCCAAAGCAAGCCGUAGUCAAAGGAAAGGCAACGUCCGAGCAUAGAGAGUCAUCGGAGGGGCUUCCACCCAAGGGAGAGGUGAGUUUGUCAUCGAACUUAGAGGAAGAAGUUGCGAUGAAAACAGUGAAGCUAGGAACAAUGAGGCUCGAAUCGAGUGAAGCGUCGGAGUUGGCCGAGUCAUCGACAAGGCUUCCACCUAUGGGAGAGGUGGGUGGUGCAUCGGACUUCAAGGAAAAAGAAGUGAUGCAUGUGGGACAGUUGACCCGAGUAAAUGCAAAGGUACAUUCGAAACACUCUAAUAGUGUUUUGCAUUCUAACUUGUGUACUUGGCGAGAACGUAGGGGCCCUUUCGAAGUUCUUGAGCAAGGAGGCCGAGAGACUGUGGGCAAAGCGAAGCCAAGUGUCGCGAAUCAUGAGGAUUCUGUUCGAGGGAAGUUAGAAUGUGGGCAAGGGAGUGACAUAACUCCUUGUCGUCGAGAUGUACAAACGAGUAAGACGGCUAGAGUUAAGAAGCGACGAAAGCCGAGGCAAAAGUCCCAAAUAAAGGGAAAGGCUAAGGCGUCGAGACAAGAUCGAGACGAAUCAAGCCAGUGCCAUCCAGAAGUCGCAACGAGGGCGUUGCGAGAAUGGGUGGGGGAGAAUGUCACGGGCCGCAGUUCAAAGCCCGUGACUAUCGCACCAAAUGCAUCCAAUGGAGGUCUAUUGCUCAGAUGGGGAUCAUUUGGCUCACGAGAACUGGCCCGAUUCAAUGAGAUACUAAAGAAGCCUGUCAGAUUGAAGCCUGGUUGGCCCGAUAGCGAAGAGAUGGCAACUUAGGCUAAUAUGGUAACUAAUCUUAGAAGAUAUGAUAUUAUAAUCUUAGAGAUCUUAGAUAUGAUAUGGAAUCUUAUAAGAUAUUAUUUUAUAAGAUUACAUAUCUUAUCUAAGAUAUGGAAUCUUAGAAGAUAUGAUAUUAUAUUCUUAGAGAUUUGAUGGUAGGUAAACUUUAAUCUCGUCCGUCGAUGUAAUUGUAUCUUGACCGUCGGUUUUGGGGGAGCUCAAGUAUAAAUAGAGAGCCUCCCCCUCAUUUGUACUCACUCC